GCUCCGCCCCCUUCCUCUUCCUCCGGGCGCUCACGUCCGCUGCAUGCAAGGUCUGCACCUACGGCUUCCUCGUCCUGCUCGUGCUCGCCGUCCUGCUGCUGUGCGGCCUGUGCGUGGCGUACGUGAUCGCACUUCUAUCCGGACGCGGUACAGAAUUCAAGAAGCGUGCCCUGGGAGCGAUCACGUGGGACUCGGUUGCGAACUCGUUUAGGCUUCCCCGCAUGGCGGUGCUCGGAUUCAUCACAGUCGUGCCCUUCUUCGUGCUAGUUGUCGCCGGCCUUCUGUUGGCGAUGAUGUCGCAUGUGGAGGGAUCGGUGUCUCGGGGAGAAAUGGUCGGCUUUGUAAUCGUGGAUGUGGGAUUUUUUGGAAUGCACGCGACGUCUUGCAUUCUUAUCAUCCCAGCUCUAGCACUUGGCGCCUGGAGGUUCGACCAGGCUGACAGGAAAGCACAGUCGCAGUCUUGCUGAGACGAAGCUAAGAAGAGAGUAUGCCCGGAGAAUGUGCCAAGGAGCUACAGUGCCCAUUCCGCUGAUGGUUGUGAGUGGUCCCAACAGACACAAGUUUUGAAAGGAAAAAGAGUCUUUGCAAACCUACUUCUUUCUACUAUUAAUAGAUCCUAAUCGUCAUUAGCCAUGAAACUUCUGUUGACUUGCUUAUUUCUGCUAUUACUACUCCCUCCGUUCCAAAUUACUCGUCGUGGUUUUAGACGAGUAAUUUGGAACGGAGGGAGUAGAUCGUAACCGUCAAUAGUCAUGAAGUUUGUUGGGUUAUUAUGGGUCUGGUGAUGAUGGUUGAUGCUAC